UACGGGGGGGAGCAAGCGUUGUUCGGAUUUACUGGGCGUAAAGGGCGCGUAGGCGGUCGUGACAAGUCACUUGUGAAAUCUCCGGGCUUAACUCGGAACGGUCAAGUGAUACUGUCGGACUAGAGUACAGAAGGGGCAACUGGAAUUCUCGGUGUAGCGGUGAAAUGCGUAGAUAUCGAGAGGAACACCUGCGGCGAAGGCAGGUCUCUGGGCCACUAACUGACGC
rnacentral:rRNA from 1 species